rnacentral:rRNA from 1 species
CCUACGGGCGGCAGCAGUGGGGAAUAUUGGACAAUGGGCGAAAGCCUGAUCCAGCCAUGCCGCGUGUGUGAAGAAGGCCUUCGGGUUGUAAAGCACUUUCAGUGGGGAAGAAAGCCUUGGGGCUAAUACCCUCGAGGAAGGACAUCACCCACAGAAGAAGCACCGGCUAACUCCGUGCCAGCAGCCGCGGUAAUACGGAGGGUGCGAGCGUUAAUCGGAAUUACUGGGCGUAAAGCGCGCGUAGGCGGUCUGAUAAGCCGGUUGUGAAAGCCCCGGGCUCAGCCUGGGAACGGCAUCCGGAACUGUCAGGCUAGAGUGCAGGAGAGGAAGGUAGAAUUCCCGGUGUAGCGGUGAAAUGCGUAGAGAUCGGGAGGAAUACCAGUGGCGAAGGCGGCCUUCUGGACUGACACUGACGCUGAGGUGCGAAAGCGUGGGUAGCAAACAGGAUUAGAUACCCCGGUAGUC